AACACGUGUCCGCGCCAUUUUUUAAAUUUAAUAACCGAUUUAGUGCGAUUUUUUAGGUUGGCAACGUGUUUUAGACACGUGUCCGCGUCAUUUUCUUAAUUUAAUUACCGAUUUUUUAGGUUGGCAAUGCGUUUUAAACACGUGUCCGCGACAUAUUUUUAAUUUAAUUACCGAUUUAGUGCGUUUUUUUAGGUUGGCAACGUGUUUUAGACACGUGUCCGCGUCAUUUUUUUAAUUUAAUUACCGAUUUUUUAGGUUGGCAAUAUGUUUCAAACACGUGUCCGCGACAUAUUUUUAAUUUAAUAACCGAUUUAGUGCGAUUUUUUAGGUUGGCAAUGUGUUUUAGACACGUGUCCGCGCCAUUUUUUUAAUUUAAUUACCGAUUUUUUAGGUUGGCAAUGCGUUUUAAACACGUGUCCGCGACAUAUUUUUAAUUUAAUUACCGAUUUAGUGCGAUUUUUUAGGUUGGCAACGUGUUUUAGACACGUGUCCGCGUCAUUUUCUUAAUUUAAUUACCGAUUUUUUAGGUUGGCAAUGCGUUUUAAACACGUGUCCGCGACAUAUUUUUAAUUUAAUUACCGAUUUAGUGCGAUUUUUUAGGUUGGCAACGUGUUUUAGACACGUGUCCGCGUCAUUUUUUUAAUUUAAUUACCGAUUUUUUAGGUUGGCAAUGCGUUUUAAACACGUGUCCGCGACAUAUUUUUAAUUUAAUUACCGAUUUAGUGCGAUUUUUUAGGUUGGCAACGUGUUUUAGACACGUGUCCGCGUCAUUUUUUUAAUUUAAUUACCGAUUUUUUAGGUUGGCAAUAUGUUUCAAACACGUGUCCGCGACAUAUUUUUAAUUUAAUAACCGAUUUAGUGCGAUUUUUUAGGUUGGCAAUGUGUUUUAGACACGUGUCCGCGCCAUUUUUUUAAUUUAAUUACCGAUUUUUUAGGUUGGCAAUAUGUUUCAAACACGUGUCCGCGACAUAUUUUUAAUUUAAUAACCGAUUUAGUGCGAUUUUUUAGGUUGGCAAUGUGUUUUAGACACGUGUCCGCGCCAUUUUUUUAAUUUAAUUACCGAUUUUUUAGGUUGGCAAUAUGUUUCAAACACGUGUCCGCGACAUAUUUUUAAUUUAAUAACCGAUUUAGUGCGAUUUUUUAGGUUGGCAAUGUGUUUUAGACACGUGUCCGCGCCAUUUUUUUAAUUUAAUUACCGAUUUUUUAGGUUGGCAAUAUGUUUCAAACACGUGUCCGCGACAUAUUUUUAAUUUAAUAACCGAUUUAGUGCGAUUUUUUAGGUUGGCAAUGUGUUUUAGACACGUGUCCGCGCCAUUUUUUUAAUUUAAUUACCGAUUUUUUAGGUUGGCAACGUGUUUUAGACACGUGUCCGCGUCAUUUUUUUAAUUUAAUUACCGAUUUUUUAGGUUGGCAAUAUGUUUCAAACACGUGUCCGCGACAUAUUUUUAAUUUAAUAACCGAUUUAGUGCGAUUUUUUAGGUUGGCAAUGUGUUUUAGACACGUGUCCGCGCCAUUUUUUUAAUUUAAUUACCGAUUUUUUAGGUUGGCAACGUGUUUUAGACACGUGUCCGCGUCAUUUUUUUAAUUUAAUUACCGAUUUUUUAGGUUGGCAAUAUGUUUCAAACACGUGUCCGCGACAUAUUUUUAAUUUAAUAACCGAUUUAGUGCGAUUUUUUAGGUUGGCAAUGUGUUUUAGACACGUGUCCGCGCCAUUUUUUUAAUUUAAUUACCGAUUUUUUAGGUUGGCAAUAUGUUUCAAACACGUGUCCGCGACAUAUUUUUAAUUUAAUAACCGAUUUAGUGCGAUUUUUUAGGUUGGCAAUGUGUUUUAGACACGUGUCCGCGCCAUUUUUUUAAUUUAAUUACCGAUUUUUUAGGUUGGCAAUAUGUUUCAAACACGUGUCCGCGACAUAUUUUUAAUUUAAUAACCGAUUUAGUGCGAUUUUUUAGGUUGGCAAUGUGUUUUAGACACGUGUCCGCGUCAUUUUUUUAAUUCAAUUACCGAUUUUUUAGGUUGGCAAUAUGUUUCAAACACGUGUCCGCGACAUAUUUUUAAUUUAAUAACCGAUUUAGUGCGAUUUUUUAGGUUGGCAAUGUGUUUUAGACACGUGUCCGCGCCAUUUUUUUAAUUUAAUUACCGAUUUUUUAGGUUGGCAAUGCGUUUUAAACACGUGUCCGCGACAUAUUUUUAAUUUAAUUACCGAUUUUUUAGGUUGGCAAUGCGUUUUAAACACGUGUCCGCGCCAUUUUUUUAAUUUAAUUACCGAUUUUUUAGGUUGGCAAUGCGUUUUAAACACGUGUCCGCGACAUAUUUUUAAUUUAAUUACCGAUUUUUUAGGUUGGCAAUGUGUUUUAGACACGUGUCCGCGCCAUUUUUUUAAUUUAAUUACCGAUUUUUUAGGUUGGCAAUGCGUUUUAAACACGUGUCCGCGCCAUUUUUUUAAUUUAAUUACCGAUUUUUUAGGUUGGCAAUGCGUUUUAAACACGUGUCCGCGACAUAUUUUUAAUUUAAUAACCGAUUUAGUGCGAUUUUUUAGGUUGGCAAUGUGUUUUAGACACGUGUCCGCGUCAUUUUUUUAAUUCAAUUACCGAUUUUUUAGGUUGGCAAUAUGUUUCAAACACGUGUCCGCGACAUAUUUUUAAUUUAAUAACCGAUUUAGUGCGAUUUUUUAGGUUGGCAAUGUGUUUUAGACACGUGUCCGCGCCAUUUUUUUAAUUUAAUUACCGAUUUUUUAGGUUGGCAAUGCGUUUUAAACACGUGUCCGCGACAUAUUUUUAAUUUAAUUACCGAUUUAGUGCGUUUUUUUAGGUUGGCAAUAUGUUUUAAACACGUGCCCGCGUCAUUUUUUUAAUUUAAUUACCGAUUUAGUGCAAUUUUUUUGGCAACGUGUUUUAGACACGUGUCCGCGUCAUUUUUUUAAUUUAAUUACCGAUUUUUUAGGUUGGCAAUGCGUUUUAAACACGUGUCCGCGACAUAUUUUUAAUUUAAUUACCGAUU